GAAGCUAAACGAACGCAUCCAGUAAAGGCCUAGAGUAUUAGUUUUGGCCUAGAGUAUUAGUUUUGGCCUAUAGAUAUAAGACUAACUCUCUACUCUUUCAACAGGUUUUGAUGGAGAUGGGUUAAGUAUAAGGUGUGACUGGCGUAGUACUUAGUCUUGAUUUCAAGACGCUCAAUCUAAUUUCAUUUGCGGUGACACAACUCACCCAAGGACAGUAAAACAAGAUCCAAACAAAAUAAUGUCUUGAACCAAAACUAAAACUUUAGUCUCGUUUCAAGAUGUUCAAUCUCAUUUUAUUUGCGGUGCAACAACUCACAAUGGACGGUAAACACACUAUCCUAAAAAAAUACAAGAUAAUGUCUUGAACCAAAACUAAGAACUACGCUGUCUUUAAGUAAACGCAGAGCUUGAAGAUGAAGACUCUCCCUUUGAUGUCACUGGGUGAGACUGGAGGUCAACUGGAGGUCAGCAGCUUGGAGCAAAGUAUCGGGUAUAAGUAUUGGCAAGUGUGAAAGAAUAGCAACCCUUUCCAAAGAUCUAAUCCGUUCUACUUACUUGAGAUUUAACAUUUAUUUUCCACAUCCACUGACCGGCUUCCAGGCCAUAGUUUCUUUUGUUUGCUUUCCAGAGUCUGGACCCGUUCCUCCUGAAAAAGAUGUUGUGGAAGAUGACGUGCAGAUAAAGCGGGCAUGAAACUCCCUUUGAUAUCGCCGAUUCAUGACCUGAGGUCACUGGGUUUGAUGAGGUCUUUGCAGCAAAGGUUAUAAGUAUCAUGAAAGGUAUAAAGUUUGAGGACAAGUGUGAAAGAAAAGUUUUUUCUCUCCACUUAGCUUCUUACUUUCAUUUUAGCAGCUCUGAACCUUUCAAAGGUUAGCUGUUAUCUAGAGCAGGCUAGUCAAAACAUUGAGACAAAUUAAGAACUCACUCCGCGGUAGUGAAGUUAAUAACGAGAAGUCCCCUCGAUCCACUUAAGCUAAAAAAGAAGUCUGAGCCGAUUUCCUACCUUCAUCUCAAGUAGUGGCUCAUAUUAAGCAGGACUGUUCUUUUCAGAACUGAGAAGUCUCCCAAAUUCCAGAAAUCUAUACCCCACUGCAGUAAAAAAGUCUCCCAAUUUCCGAAAACCUACUUCGCGGUAGUAGAAUAUCCAGCAAGACAAGUUCUUUUCAGAACAUAAUCUACAAAGCAAGUGCAUUGUGGUACCGCAUAAACCACUCUCUUACCUUGAUGGUGGCAUCGAAGCCCUUCACCUGGCUGAGGACCAAGCUAUGCCUGAGGACCAAGCUAUACUGGCUUACAAACAAACCACAUCAUCACCACCGCAAACCAAACAUUGACACCUCGCCAUGUACUGUCUCUAAUCCCAUAUUACCUUGUUUCUUUUUUUGUUUCCCAUAGUCUGAACCUGAUUUUCCUAAAGAGGAUGUUGUGACAAUCAGAUGGCAGCUCUUGUACACCGUAGAUGACAUGGGUUUGGUAUGGCUAUUUGAGGUAGCCCCAAAAGAUUGAGAAGAAUAUCUUGGAGAUGGCAUACACCCAAACUUGAGGCUACACUCGGGACGGUUUUUUGACUGGCCACCAGCUGAAGAAGGACUGUCUCAAGUUUAGCCAGAUGAUUUUUCCACUACAAGUUAGUUCAACCGUUCAAGUGACAGAGCGAUGUUGAGUAUAACCACAACAGACCACUAGAAGGACUGUGUCAAAUCUAACCAGAUGACUCCCACUACAACCCUACAAGUUCAACCCGUC